rnacentral:misc_RNA from 1 species
GAUGAAGAACGCAGCGAAAUGCGAUAAGUAAUGUGAAUUGCAGAAUUCAGUGAAUCAUCGAAUCUUUGAACGUACAUUGCGCCCGCCAGUAUUCUGGCGGGCAUGCCUGUUCGAGCGUCAUUACAACCCUCAGGCCCCCGGGCCUGGCGUUGGGGAUCGGCGGAGCCCCCCGUGGGCACACGCCGUCCCCCAAAUGCAGUGGCGGUCCCGCCGCAGCUUCCAUCGCGUAGUAGCUAACACCUCGCGACUGGAGAGCGGCGCGGCCACGCCGUAAAACACCCAACUCUUCUGAAGUUGACCUCGAAUCAGGUAGGAAUACCCGCUGAACUUAAGCAUAUCAAUAAGCGGAGGA